UACGUAGGGUGCAAGCGUUGUCCGGAAUUAUUGGGCGUAAAGAGCUCGUAGGCGGUCUGUUGCGUCGGGUGUGAAAACUCAGGGCUUAACCCUGAGCCUGCUUCCGAUACGGGCAGACUAGAGGUAUGCAGGGGAGAACGGAAUUCCUGGUGUAGCGGUGAAAUGCGCAGAUAUCAGGAGGAACACCGGUGGCGAAGGCGGUUCUCUGGGCAUUACCUGACGCUGAGGAGCGAAAGUGUGGGGAGCGAACAGG
rnacentral:rRNA from 1 species